ensembl:piRNA 21ur-3883 ncRNA
UCCGAAGUCGAUCAGGUUUAC